GAUGAACGCUAGCGAUAGGCUUAACACAUGCAAGUCGAGGGGCAGCACAAGGUAGCUUGCUAUCUGGGUGGCGACCGGCGCACGGGUGCGUAACGCGUAUGCAACUUGCCCUAUACAGGAGGAUAACCCGUCGAAAGACGGACUAAUACUGCGUAUGCUCACAACUUGGCAUCAAGUGGUGAGGAAAGAAAUUCGGUAUAGGAUAGGCAUGCGUCCCAUUAGCUUGUUGGUGAGGUAACGGCUCACCAAGGCAACGAUGGGUAGGGGAACUGAGAGGUUUAUCCCCCACACGGGUACUGAGACACGGACCAGACUCCUACGGGAGGCAGCAGUGAGGAAUAUUGGUCAAUGGGCGCGAGCCUGAACCAGCCAAGUCGCGUGAAGGAUGACUGUCUUAUGGAUUGUAAACUUCUUUUAUACGGGAAUAACAAGGGUCACGGGUGACUCCCUGCAUGUACCGUAUGAAUAAGCAUCGGCUAACUCCGUG
rnacentral:rRNA from 1 species